AUCCUUCGGGUGUGUUUUAUAUGACUGAGUGCCGGACGGGUGAGUAACGCGUGGGGAACCUGCCGUAUGCAGGGGGACAACAGUCAGAAAUGACUGCUAAUACCGCAUAAGCACACAAUGCUGCAUGGCAUGGUGUGAAAAGAUUUAUCGGCAUACGAUGGCCCCGCGUCUGAUUAGCCAGUUGGCAGGGUAAUGGCCUACCAAAGCAACGAUCAGUAGCCGGCUUGAGAGAGUGACCGGCCACAUUGGGACUGAGACACGGCCCAGACUCCUACGGGAGGCAGCAGUGGGGAAUAUUGCACAAUGGGGGAAACCCUGAUGCAGCGACGCCGCGUGAGUGAUGAAGUAUUUCGGUAUGUAAAGCUCUAUCAGCAGGGAAGAUAAUGACGGUACCUGACUAAGAAGCUCCGGCUAAAUACGUGCCAGCAGCCGCGGUAAUACGUAUGGAGCAAGCGUUAUCCGGAUUUACUGGGUGUAAAGGGAGCGCAGACGGCAGGGCAAGUCUGAUGUGAAAGUCCGGGGCUCAACCCCGGGACUGCAUUGGAAACUGUCCGGCUAGAGUGCAAGAGAGGUAAGUGGAAUUCCUAGUGUAGCGGUGAAAUGCGUAGAUAUUAGGAGGAACACCAGUGGCGAAGGCGGCUUACUGG
rnacentral:rRNA from 1 species